UUUUCAAAAUCUAAUAAGUAGAGUAUUUAUAGACCCUUGAUACCUUUCUGAAAGUGUAUGAAUACAUGAAAAUAUGUCAUGCUUGAAGGAUGCAAAAGUAAUUUCGUUUGAGUCCAAUUUUGAAUGAACCACUGCCACUGCUUCAGUGGUAACCGGUUACCAAAAAGGGUGUAACCCGUUAUACCUGAAGUGGUGUUAAAAAGUUUGAAAAAAUUGCGCGUGUAACCGGUUACCAAAAAUGGUGUAACCGGUUACACCUCUCAUACCCAAUCAAAGAACACAAAUGCGCUACUGUGUAACCGGUUACAAGGAAAGGUGUAACCGGUUACACCUGCUUUGAAACUGAAAAAUACUUAUGGACAUGAGUUUUGGCCAGGUUUCAAAGGUGUUAAAAACAUGUAUGCAAUAUGACAUGAUUACCAUAAUUUUUCUUGAGCACUUAAUAAUGAACAUAACGGAAAUGCUUACUUGUACCUCAACGCGUAUGAAUCAAUCAAUCUUCCCAAACCUAUUCUUCAUAAGUUGAAUUUGAAACUUGAUACUUUAGUCUUUGAAAUUAAGAUUUUUCCAUUCUUUUAUCAUGAGCUAAUUCUUCUAACUUGUCUUCAUCAAAGCUAACAUUUGGAGAAACUUGUCUUCAUAUUCUCCCCCUUUUUGAUGAUGACAGUCCAUUGAAAAUUCGAUAACCUUUGCUCCCUCUAACAAAGAUAACUCCCAUUUGAUCAAUGUUCACCCUUGAUCCUUGAAUGAGAGUAUUUGAAAUUUGAUGUUCGCUGUAAAUUGUUAGAGAGAGGCAUACAAAUAGACAUAACAUCUUCCCCCCCUUUGUCAUUAACAAAAAGGAUGGGAAAAGACUUAAAAGUUUAUAAAAAUAUUAGUAGAUAAUAGCACAUCACAAUUUAAUUGCACAUCAAAACACAACAACAUACACAAUAUAGAACAUUACAUACCAUAUCAUUAAUUCUUACAUAAACAUUUAAAACAGAACCAAACUCAUAGAUUAAUACAUAAACCCGGAAAGAAAAACAGAAUGGAAAGAUAAAUAGAAAAUUUUGCAAGAUUGUUCCAAAACAUAUGAAAAACAUAAACUAAGACAUCAUAGCAUAACAACAAAUAACAACAUAAUGCUCUAGUCUCUUUUCUCCACCUCAUACUCAUCAUUAUCCUCAUCUUCAUUUUGGUCUUGGUUUUGGGUUUAGUAUUGGCUUUUGAGAUAGGUCAUCUCAAGACGAAGUUCUCUAAAAUCGGACACCAUACAAGUCUCCACAAAAUAUAACUUGUUGUAAAGGGCUUCAUUGGUGUAACCACCUUCGGGUGCGGGUGGAGGUACGUUAACAGAUGGAUCAUCUUUAUGUUUAUAGACACCAUCUUUAUAUUUGAAUAUUCAUGUAUUUCUCCCGACAACCCCAACAUUAAUUUCACAAUUCUUUACAUUCAUUUUCUUCUUGGGUUCCCUCUUCAAAUCAACACCGCAAUGUUGCAUAAUCUGAGUGAUCCAUCGAGCGUACGGUAGGUCACCACUCAAACCUUGUUGUUGUUGCAUGUGAUGCAUUAUCAUAUAAGCUCGAUCUACCUUUAUCCUAUUCUUAAUCGCAUAAAUCAGCUGCAUCUCAGUGUCACCAAUUUGUGAAUGAUUCGAGUGUUUAGGAAAAAUGAUGUAUACUAUGAAAAAAUGCAACAUCCUAUCACUAUAAUGAGAUUUUUACAAGACAGAAUUAACCAGGUUGAAGUCGUGUUUCGAAUUCUCUUAUUCAUAAUUUCUUGCUCUGACAAAUAACUAAUGCUAAACUAGUAAAUAACCUUGUUAUAACCAGACCAUUCAAGGGUAAAACUAUGCAUAAUUCUCUGACCCUUAUAAGGAAUGUCUAAACAUCUACCAAAAUAUUCCAAAGACAAAAUAAUAUAUUUUCCCUUAACUCUUGAAGAAAAAAUAUAGUUAGUUGUAAUAGACAAAUUUGCAUAAAAAUCUCUAACUAGGUCAGAGUAAAUGGGUCGUGAGUCAGCAAUCAGGCUGUCCAAACCUUGAUGAUGCAAAAGUGUUAGGAAAUCAAAGCACAAAGAGGGAAAAGAAGCAAGAUUACCAUAUUUAUGAGGCAUCAGUGGGUGAUUCCUAAUGUUGAAGAGCAACCUGCUUUCUUUGAGAGUGGGUUCAACAAUGUCAGCAUCUGAGUAUUAUUCAGAACCACCUUCGUCCAUCUUUGCCUUGCCUUUGUCUUUUCUUGAAGGAGUCGUGAAAGGAGCUUUAAAGUGAGAAGGUUAGGGUUUGGAGAAGUGAUUUUCAGAUAAGCUCUUUGAAGGAUGUGAUAAAGUUGGCUUGAUAAGUGAAAUGGUCUUAUAAAGAGUUUUUAUGAGUGGGGGAUUAAAUGUGAAAAUGUGAUUGUUUUGGUAUUUGGUAUAAGACAAGUGGAUAAUAAAGAUAGUAGGUGGAAGAGUGAGAUGAAAGUUGGCC
rnacentral:lncRNA from 1 species